AUUAUAUAUAUUUUAAUUCUUAAAAUGUUUAAUAUGAGCUUGAAGACCUCGUAAUUGCAGAUUUACAUCAGGUCUGUAGCAUGCUCAUGGACGCUAGGCUUAAAGUAUGAUAUGAAAGAUUUUCACGUGAUCACAUUUUGCUCCUUAUCAUCACAGUGCUGGGCACAUGCCACUAAGCCAUCUGUUUUAAGUGCGCUUAUGUGUAUGUGCCUAGUGCUAUGCUAAGACAUUGCAUUGGUUAGGAGGCUUAGCAUACACAGAGAGAGCUUCACCAAAGUGCCCAAAGUUCAAAGGUAGUAUAGAUAUGUCUUCAAAUACAAAGUGAUUUCAACAACCUAAACAAAGUAUAACCAUGAAACCUGCUUAAAUCUCUUCUUCAGAAGCCAUUUGUUCAAGCUUCACAUAUGAGUCCUUAAGAAGAAUUUUUGUUUAGGAACAGACUGAGAAGUACCACACUGGGUAAGUAUAAUAUGUGUAUAGCUGAUGUUGACAUCUCAUGACUUCCGAGCUAUAUUGAGUUUUGUUAUAGCAUAACAGAGAGAAGAGGACUGUCACAGAGGCAAGUUAAGGCCCAGGACAAAACAAGCCUAUGAGCUGGAUGGCAAAAGCGAAUGGAGACCAGAGGGUAUGCCCUGACUGUUUCAAACCACGUGGAAAUCUACAAAAUAAAAAAGUAGUAGAGGGGCGCUGCAAGAAUCACUUUACAGGGUGGAGGCUGAGUAAAGCAGAGAUGGCAUAUCCCUCGGGCCACCAUCUUUCUGCAGGACCAAGAAAGCAACUUUUUACCAGCAGGAAGUUCUGCUACAGCAAAGCCUGAUCCCUUUGUACUAAGUGGUGUAAGAUUUAUCCCAGGGGUAACUGGAGCCUGCUAUAACAAGAGCUAACUCCAACUGAGUUCUGCUAGGACUGAGUUCAUUCUGGACCAGUGACUUCUACUAUGAAAUGUCACUCAUACACAGAGCAACUAUAGAAGAAACCAGCACUUGUUCUAGGCAAACAGAAUGAAAGAUUGAAGCUGUCUAUACAUCCCUUUUGAUAUUGCAUCCUUUCUCCUUCUGCAUAACAGAUGCUCGAAACCAACAAUGGUAAUCUCGAAGUUCAUCUGUCGUCUUUGUUUUUCAUAAUAAUGUCUGGCUACUGACUUUUCUCAUAAGAUUUAAGUUCCCUUUUGUGUGCCUGAAAUACCCCCAGUACAUGCUUAUGCAGCCUAGAGUGUUGCCUGUAUUUUCCCUCCUCUCAUGCUUUGUUCCUAUCUACGUUAUCUUACGUUUCCUAACCUUAAAUUGCAAGUCAAUCCCAUUUACUUUUUCCUGCUCCAAAUUUAUUUAAAUCUUGCCAAACCAGCAUUUAUCAUCCCCUUCUUGCGUGAUUCAUUAACCAGGUCAUUAGCUCAAAUAUCAGUAUUUAUUAACUAGUUUGCUGAUUCAUUCACAAGGGACAUCAUAGAAGAAAGUAUAUAGGUGCUUGUGGAAGAAUUGGACAUAUAGCAGUGGCGAUUUGCAUUAUUGGAAGAAAAAGGCUAAAAUAUGAAGGUCUUAAAGGUAGUGUUAUUAGAGGAUAUGAUAUUUAAUAUGGUAGAAAGAGUGUCAGGGCAAGGACUCGAUGAGUAGGAUGAUGUAAAAAAUGAGGGGCAGGAGUAUCUUGUGUAGGCUGGUAGCAUGAGUUUGGCAUCAGGAACAGUGGAGGAUGGAGGUAACAAUAGUGUAGAGGAGAGAGCCUAAGUGGGUAGAGGAGAUUUUUCAAGGGGUACACAGAAAGCAUGUAACUUUGAACAUAGAACAGCAAGAUUUGAAUGUGACCUAGAUGCAUGAGAGGGGCUAAUGUGAAAUGACAGGUUACAGACCUGAGAGAGAGAGGAGAUGGUAAAGUUGUUAUCAGGG